rnacentral:rRNA from 1 species
GACGUAGGGGGCCAGCGUUGUUCGGAAUUACUGGGUGUAAAGGGUUCGUAGGCGGUGCGGCAAGUUGGGAGUGAAAUCUUGGAGCUUAACUCCGAAACUGCAUUCGAUACUGCCGUGCUUGAGGACUGGAGAGGAGACUGGAAUUUACGGUGUAGCGGUGAAAUGCGUAGAUAUCGUAAGGAAGACCAGUGGCGAAGGCGGGUCUCUGGACAGUUCCUGACGCUGAGGCACGAAGGCCAGGGGAGCAAACGGG